GGCCUGGCUGGGUGGUCUUGCCGCAAGGUAAGCACUGCUGUGGUCGGGUCUUUCCUUCUGGGGAACCAGCGUGCUCUUUACUGAGUGCGUUGGGGAUCCAGGACUUUUACUUUGAAAAAAUUAGAGUGUUUAAAGCAAGCUAACGCUUGAAUACAUUAGCAUGGAAUAAUGAAAUAGGAC
rnacentral:rRNA from 1 species